rnacentral:rRNA from 1 species
UCCCAGACUCCUACGGGAGGCAGCAGUGGGGAAUAUUGCACAAUGGGGGAAACCCUGAUGCAGCAACGCCGCGUGAGUGAGGAAGUAUUUCGGUAUGUAAAGCUCUAUCAGCAGGGAAUAGAAAAGAAGGUACCUGAAAAAGAAGCCCCGGCUAACUACGUGCCAGCAGCCGCGGUAAUACGUAGGGGGCAAGCGUUAUCCGGAUUUAUUGGGUUUAAAGGGUGCGCAGGCGGCCUGUUAAGUCAGCGGUAACAGCCGGGGGCCCACCCCCGGCGAGCCGUUGAAACUGGCGGGCUGGAGUUGGAGAGAAGUACGCGGAAUGCGCGGUGUAGCGGUGAAAUGCUUAGAUAUCGCGCAGAACCCCGAUUGCGAAGGCAGCGUACCGGCUCCACACUGACGCUGAGGCACGAAAGCGUGGGUAUCGAACAGGAUUAGAUACCCUCGUA